UUGUCCGUGGUUCGAAACCAUCCCACGUAAAAAAACUAAGGAAAG
rfam:Bacillus thermoamylovorans genome assembly, strain 1A1, contig: A1A_CC28